GACUUAGUGGUGUAGUGGUAACACAUCAACAUGAAGCAAAGCCAACCAUUCAUGCUUCAGUAGAAGAUCCCUGUUCAAUUCAGGGCUAGGUCA